rnacentral:piRNA from 1 species
UGCUCAAUCACAGAUGGAACAAUGGUGAGA